GUUCAAUGCGGAUUGCCGAUCCGUAGGUUUCCAGUCUCCAGUUGUUCGAGGAUUUUUCGCUCAACCAAUGUUUUGCGUUUGUAUGUGUUGGUGUGACACAUCAAAAAAGGAUAACUCUGUGAGAUAGAUACACAAAAAUCAGUCGCUCGUCAGCAACAGUAACCUGCUAAAUGGCAAAUCUGUAUUCUGCUUCCUUCCAGCACUAUUAUCGCUCGCAUUGGUGAAACCUCAUGGCGGAAGGGUAAAAUCUCAAGAAAAAUCCUUCCAAACAUGGAGCAGCGGAAAACAACCGCCUUGUCGUGUGAAUGGGGGAGGAAUUGAAUGCAAGUCAAGGUACAUUUAUUAGAGCUGUGCGAAUUCAAGAUUUGAAAUUCCUUCAGUUAUGGGAUUUCUUUCCAUCGAGUGUUUGAAGGAAAAGUGGGAAAGCUGGAUAAACCCGCACAUCGUUUUUCACUGCGUGUUGGUGGUCGAAUCGCGGUUCGGAGACGUGUGGUAGUGUUGUGUGACAGACUGUGUGAGUGUCGGUCGAAAGGGGACAAAAAAGCUUUUGUGUGCAGCCCGUGAAAAUUUUCUCGGGUUUUUCACCAGAACAGUUGACGCGGAUUGAGAAUGUGUGCUUCUGAAAGUCGCCUUUUUCGCGAAAUACAUUACAGUGUCCAAAUUUGAUAUCGGAUCAUUAUGAAAUAAUGGCUAGCCAUUGGGAUGGACGGUGAAUUACGUCGAAGUUAACUGCGUGGAGUUUGCGAAAAAUUGGAAGUGAAAAAAGAGGGUCAAUCUUUGAUUGCUGGAGAAGAAAAAAGAUGGUGAGCAAAAAGAGGGGUGAUUUGCGAGAGUUUUCCCAACAAAUUGGACAGAAUAUAUGACGAUUGAAAUAAAAUGAUCGCGAAAUGUACUGCUAGCUUUGUGGUUUAAGUGAAGAAAAUAAGCUGCAGGAAAAUCAACGCAAAGAUGGCAUGUGGAUUGAUCGAUCUAUUGGGCAUAGUAUUAUGUGCAGAUAUCCAGCUGUAAAAUGAAAACGAUAUCGAAGUUGUAUCCACCAUAGCGCACAAACGGACAGCAUGCCAUCUGCGUCGCUGCACAGCAUCCAGCUCAACGAUGACGAUAACAUAAUACGGAAAACAUCGUUCUCAUGCAGGAUGUAGUGCGCCUCUUCAGCCACCAUCAAUGGAAGUGAAAAUGUUUAUCAAAACCAACCGCGAUAUUCGUUUCUCAAGUGUAGCUAAUGGUGAAGACAAUGAUAUUAGCAGUAGCGUGUAUCAAUUCACAAAAUGUGAAACCAAACUGAAAAAAUCCAACGUGAUAUAUUCCGGCGAGAAUUCAUCGAACGGAUGUGUGAUUAGUGUCGGACGCAAUCGGGUGAACAGUAGCGCAAAUACUUACGGAAACUUUCUGUAACGAUUCCUUACUGAGUGAAGCACAAUUCUAGUAUUGGUUAUUGUGUACAUAGUGUGAAGCCAGGAUAAAUUUGAUUCAGUAGCAAGUAUCUGCGGAACAUAACGAACUAGUUUUUAAGUAAAUAGUGCAUGAAGAUUGUUUUGACGGAUAGAGAUUAUACAUACGCGGAAGAACACAUUAAAACUUGAAAACAUUUAUGUUAUCAACCGCAUAGUCACGUUGUGAAAUACGCUAGAUACCGUAUUUCAAAUUGGAACUAGGAUAUUAGCAAAAUGGCCGAUAUGCCUGAUCUGUCUCAUCUGACACAGGAGGAACGUGCAAUAAUCGAGAAUGUUAUGUUGCGGCAGCGGCAGGAGGAGGAGAGGGAGAACGAGAUUAUGCGGAGGAAGCAAGACGAGGUGGCUACCCUGGUGGAUUCGAUUCGUCAAAAGUCGGAGCAGCAGAAAAAGGCCGGCGUUGAGCUUGACGCCACGUGUCACAUUUGCCUCAAAACAAAGUUUGCGGAUGGCAUCGGACACAUCUGCAAUUAUUGCAACAUUCGUUGUUGUGCCAAAUGCGGGGGCAAAGUUACACUGCGUAACAACAAGGUGAUAUGGGUGUGUAUUGUGUGUCGAAAAAAGCAGGAACUGCUGUCAAAAACUGGUCAAUGGAUGAACAAAAGUACAAGUCCCGAUGGCGUGAUACGUCGGAUCGAAGGUGACCCGAGGAUACCCCAGACAGCAACUCUCGAUCCGCAUGAUCCGUCUGACAAACGACCAAAGCUGGAACGGGCGAGAAGUGCUGCUGAGAAAGAGAAUCACCCGAUGCAACGUUCCGGCAGCCAGCUUCGGCGCCAAUAUUCCCAACAGGAUCCACCUCAUCGGCGAAUGUCUCAGUCGGACAGUGAAGUGGAUGUCACUACUGGGCUACCCCAAACAAGGUUACCGAUGCCACGGAUGCAUCCCCAAGGUGGUAUGCAACAGGGUCCAUAUGGGCAGUAUAUGCAUACCGGUCUCCCCCAGCCGCCAGUUCAAAUGGGGCAAUACGGACAUCACCAGUCUCAUAUGAAUCCUCAGGUGCAGAUCACUCGAUCUGGUGGCAACAUUGGAAUGGCUGGAUACGGACAAGACGAUCCAAGUUACUACCAGGGCGAAAUCGAAGACUUGAUGCGCGCACAUCCACAUUUAGUUCACCCUCGGCAGCAGCAGCACUACGCCGAGUCAAUGCAGUCCGCCGCACCAAGUUACGGGAGUGGGAGUAGCAGUGGUGGUAUCGUACUAUCAUCAGAGCCAAUCAAAAAACAUAAACGAUCGAUGGGUGGCCCAUAUCUCCUGCAGCAGCGGUCCUUCAGUAGCUCUGAUGAGGAUAUUAGAUCCACGCCGGAAUACGAAGCCGGGCACCAAAAACAGUAUUUUGAUAAUCACUCUCGACUGAAUCCAAGCCAAUACGAUUAUCGAGCAAGAAAGCUGGAUGUACAACAAAGAAAUAGUUAUAAUAGGACGAAUCACAAUCGAUACCAAAGUCAGCAGACGCAUUUGAAUAAUCAGCAGCCACUACCUCAGGUAGUGGUUGCCGAUGACGCCAUUAUUUCUUCAACAUACGAUAAUAACAAUCAUCACCACAGUAGUCAUCAUCAACAAACUCACCAGUCAGUGCCGCAAUCCCAUCAAGUUCAUAAUAGCCAAUAUCAGUAUAUACAGCAGAAUAGUCAGUACAACUCGAUUUCUGCUGGAAACGAACAGCCGGAUUCGUACUGGGAUGAACCGGCCGACAGUAGACGUUUCACUGAGCGAAGAAAGAAAACGGUGAGAUUCGAUGGACAGGAUUCGGAUGAUUGGGGUAGGUGGGAAUCGGAGCGUCAGGGCAGUCAGGAUUCAGCGACUAAGGAUUCGGGCAUCGAUACGAGCAGUACAUUCACGAGUAGUGAAGAUUCGAAUCGAGGCGAUGGUCCAAAGAACCCUGUUAGUUGGCAAGUGUCAGCAGAUGGUAGUCGUAUGAUUGGCCAUAUGGUAUUGCAAAGAAAUAUAGACGGUGAAGACGUUUUAGGACUCAAGAUUCGAGGUGGGCAGGUACUGCCAAACGACGAGAAGGCUGCGAUAGUAGAACAAGUGCAACGUGGUUCGAUUGCUGACCUGGAAGGACACAUUAGACCAGGUGACGAAGUGGUGGAAUGGAAUGGCCAUUCGUUGCGCGGUAAAUCCGCACAAGAUGUAUACGAUAUUAUCGGUGCUAGUAGACUGCAACAUUUGGUAGAAUUACUCGUAACACGUGCGAUAUUGAUAAAUCGCAAAAACACUCAAGCAUCCUGGCGAAACUGCCACUCGCCGACGCGAGUUCAAGCACAUCACAGAGGAGAAAGUUAUGAGCGACGUGAUAAACCAAGCGUAUUAGUGACAUCUCCGGGAUCACCUGAUCUGCACAGCGUUCGAGGCUACUCCGCAAAUCUUCGAUAUCCUAAUAGACUGACACCAGCUGCGACGGUCUCGCAGCAGGAGAAUAGCGUUGGGGGACGCGUUCAACUGAAGUUGGGCUUCGAACCAAGCUCGCUUCAACUGAUUGUGACGAUAGUUUGUGCUGCUGGACUUAUAUCGAGAGUAAAUGCGGCCGCACGAAAUCCUUACGCUAAAAUUUGUUUACUUCCCGAUCGAAGUGAAAAAUCGAAAAGACGAACGAAAACUCUGGCGUUGACAAACGAUCCGCGCUGGGGUCAAACUUUUGUCUAUGAAGGCCUUCGAAGAGCUGAUCUGCAGAAUCGUUUAUUCGAAGUUACUGUAUGGGAUUACGUACGCUACGGGGCCAACGAUUUUCUUGGCGAAGUGAUCAUUGACCUAGCGACACAUCCACUGGACGACGAAUCUGAAUGGUAUAUUCUGCAACCGCAUCAAGAAUCUUUGAGAGAAUCAUUGCGUAGAGACGACAGAGAACCCAGCAACGAAUUGGAUAUGAUUUUAACCCCGACAGACCAUUUAUCGCCACCGAGCACCACCUCAAGGUUGAGUGAUUCUGACACUACUUCCGAAUGCGAUAUCGAUGGUCUGAUGACUGGACGUGACGGUGCUAGCGUUUCAUCCCUAGGAAGCUCGUCAAGCCCUCCACCCGAGGUUGAUCUACAAGAACGCAGAUCUCGGAGAGAUAUGUCACCCCAAGGACGAAAACGGGCGGCUGGUAUGGUAGCAAAAGACUACCGCACGGUUUCGGGCGUUGGGCAGGGCUUUCACAACCAAAUGAACAAUGAGCCUUCUUCUUCUAAUCGACGUAACGGAACGAUGGCACUAAAUCAGCGCAGCCAGUCGGCGGCACCGAGUGAAAACUAUCGAGACGAUCGUCGGGGUUCGCUAUCGCCACAUGAUGAUAGAUAUACAGAAUAUCCAGUUCUUCCAUUACAUCAGUAUGCGAAUAGAUUUCAGUCACGAUCAGCGACUGCAACACCAACUGGUUCACCGAAGAAAAGACAUUUACCACAAGUACCUCACGUGUCACGGAAUACAGCAAUGCGAGAGCGAUUUAUUCAGGACUUCGAGGAGCGCAGCGGGGGACGGUUUGCACGACACAGAGGCCGACAAAGUCAUUAUCAGCCAACGUACCGAAGUACGGGGAUGGGAGGAUGGGAACGACAUUAUUCUGGACUUUCUGACAGUGAUCUGACGACACACUCCUUAGAAAGUAGAACUAGACCUAGACACUCGUUAUCUCCCGAUAAAGAUUUCAUGGGUGAUUUCGGCGAUUCCGAUAUGGAAUCGGUAGUUAGUGUUACUUCAAGUGCUUUUUCAACUCAGUCGGAGCGACCGCGUGGAUCGAAGGGGCUAAGAAACUUGCGUGCGAGGCGUUUUCAGCAUAGAGCCUUCCCGUCGCAUUGGGCAACUACGUCUCUAGGUGCCCUUCCUUCUGCUCAUUCAUUCGGAUCAGUAAUCAGCAAGUCUGAACAGGCCAGAGUGCAUCCUAAAGACCCAAAGACCGAGAGAAUAAUACAAAAUCCUGAUGCUUCAUUGGUGUCCAAUUUAUAUUUUCCAUGUAAACCUCCUCCAUUGUCCACUAAGUGUUACAAUAUAAUGCCAGAGAAUUUCACUAUCGGUAUAAUCGCUUCUAAUGCUAAUUCAGAAAUGACUAGGCUUGUUUUGAAUCCCAAAAUUUCAAACACUGUUCCAAUCCCAAUUACUGCUCAACCUGCGGAAAAUGCUUAUUAUAAUGAGCAGUGCAUAGUUUUGAAUCCCACUAAAAGUACUAUCCAAAGCUUGGUGGUAAGACCUGGGGAUGACAAGUUUAUUACAACUUCUUUGAAUCUUCCGAAUAAUCCAUCUACGGAGCUAUCCUCACUUCAGUUUAAAACGGGCUCUCUUCCGAAGGAAAAAAAGUUACAACACAUACUGAAAUCACAAGAAAAUCGUGUUUCGGGUAAUAACAGAACAGCAUUCGAGAACCGUCGCCGGAUGAUGACUCGAUCCAACACUUCGGAACCAAAUCUGAAUACAAUUCACAACAAUGUUCGACAGCAAAUUUUGAGAAAUCGUCGAAUGUUACUAUCCAGUCGGACCAUAGCAUCGAAUGCAGCAGUAACAAUGCCGCUACCCAAACAAAUUAUAUUGAAAUCAUCCUUCUCGGAUCCAAACUUACAGAAUCGUAUUACUCAUGAGCAAAAUAACCAUUCGAUGAGGAACAACAUGUGGAUCUCCAAUGUAUACAAUCCUAACAUCGGUGGGAAAAAUCAAACUCCCGGUGAUAAUCGUAUUCGAUAUAUGAUCAAUCAAAACGGUGCGGUAUGUGAAGUUUCGGUGCCAGAUUCGCAAAUCCGAUCUUCAGUUGGAAGUAUGAUUGAUCUGCGUGCCAUACAUCCUUCCACAAGUCGCGUAUUCACUACUUCACCUGGCAACACUUGUGGAAAGUAUAAACAAGAUUUUGUAAACGCUGAGGAAUCUGAAAUUGAUAUCAAAGAAACUUAUUUGGGUAACGUGGCAAUCAAACAAAGAGACCGAUUCCGUCGAUCACAAUCCUUGAAUGCACGUAAUCUAGCCGCAGACAACGAAUAUAAUUCGUAUGCCAGCUACGGAUCCUCAGGUGUUCAUAAAUAUGCUUUAGAUCUCAGUUUCGGAGAUAAUCAGGACUGGUUUCAGAAAACUAAGUCGAUCGAUUUAGGUAAUGUACAAGAUACCUAUAAUUAUGGAGUAAGUGCGAAUAGACGUAACUUGCAUUUAGAUGUAGUUGGAUCUAGCGAUGGUUGUGAGUUGAUAUCUGGUAGAGUUGUAAAACGUAAGAGCAGAGGAGAUAUCAAGAUGGAUGAACAGAAGAACACAAACCACAUCGUCAAAUCUAAAUCUAUGAGUUCGAAUGUUCAGCAGGACGUAAUGGUUCCUGAAAAAUCCUCCAGUACAACUUCAUUGGGCCAACCUCCGGUCAACUCGAAAAAAGCUGAUUUUCACAUCCUAGAACGCGACGAUCCCUUGAAACGCAAAACCAGAGUUGAAGAAAUCAAGAGUAAUAGUGGAGUUUUGUACAGCAGUACCGAAUCUAUAAAGUCCAUUAUCGAAGAAGUAAGACAUGAAUUAUUGAAAAAGCCAACACAAUCCGCUUAUUUGAGUGACGAGAGUCCGACUGUUCUGAAUAGAGGGUAUUCAUUCAGUGACGAUGAAAUUAGUUUCAAUCAAAAGGAGUACGAACCCCUCGGGAUUUAUGAGUACGAUGACGAUCAAGAGCCAAGUACAAAAGAUGGCGAAAAGCAAGCCCGUAAGCCAGCUUUACGAAAAUAUGAACAAGAAAAAGCGAUUGGAUUCGAUAAUGAGAUAACAAGAAACAAUGAAAUAGUUCAUAAAUACGAGAAACGAAAAUGUAAACAGAGGAGAGCUCGCAGCUCGAGUUUCACACUGAAUGCAGCGAACAGUGACGAGGAGAGUGGAAUAAUUCGCCAGAACGGAAGUGAGGAUGAAGUAUCCGACGAUGAAGUUUUUAAAAGUCCCGUUUCCAGAGAAAACAAGCUGUCAUCCCCUGGUAAAGCGUCUAACAGACGAGGGCCUCGGCACAAUACCCGUCGAUCUAGUAGUUUAGAGAAUGUGCAAAAGUUUUCAUCUGACCAAAAGCGAACUGGAACUAUAACUGGUAGUCAUUGCGAUACAACUAGACAUAGUUCUGUUAGUAUCAAUGAUAAGCCAGAAUAUUUCGAAUACCGCAAAUCUCCAUUAUCCCCUCGCCCAAAACCAAAUAGUAGAAACGCUAACAAUGCUUCCAAUUGUUCCACAUCCUCCACCGGUAUCGCUCUCUUGCAAACCGAACCGAAACGCACCUCUUUGAAAAAACCUGGCGGACCGCCGUCUGCUCCGAAAUCGGCUGCGCAAAAUCCUUCCCACAUCAACAGUGACUACGAUAUGAGAGACCGAGGUCGGUACGGACACGUCGGGAGUCGGGACGCGUAUCGACAGCAUGAUCGAGACCGUAACAACAGUGACCACGAACGGGACCGGGAUUUGAGUGACCGAGAGCAGCGCGAAUCGCGGGAGCAGGCCGAGUUGGACCGAAGUCUUUCGAAUAACGAGGGGACGCCGGAAGAUAAAAUAGAUGGUAGCUUAAGCGACACAGCCGUGAUACAGAGCUUAGAUGCGCGACGCAAACUGGAUCAACGUUCGCCGAAGAGUGAGACCCCGACGCGGGAUCGCGACCGUUUCGGAGCCGGCAUGGGGAAGAAAAGCAACUCGACCUCGCAACUGUCGGCAACAGACCAAGGGAUUUCGCCAUCAUCUUCGUCGUCCACAUCUCAGCGGAAGCGAUCUUCAGCUGGAUCGAUCCAAAGGUCGGUCGAAGUGACACCGAUUCCACCACAGUCAGCGGCUUAUCGUGCCGGAAGUUUACAUUCAAUCUCUAGCUCCGAGGGCUCUUCAUGGUCCCCGUCGCUGCGAAUGGCCGGUGAUACCGGGCCUCUGUCAGACUUCAUCGAGGGUCUGGGACCAGGACAGCUCGUCGGACGCCAGGUACUGGGUGCUCCUGCCUUAGGUGAUAUUCAACUGUCUAUGUGCUAUCAGAAGGGUUCCUUAGAAGUUGAGGUGAUAAGAGCGAGAGGAUUGCAGGCACGUCCUGGCUCAAAAGUACUUCCAGCGCCUUACGUUAAAGUGUAUUUAGUUUCCGGUAAAAAAUGUAUAGAAAAAGCUAAAACAACGACUGCUAGGAAAACGUUAGAUCCAUUAUAUCAACAACAAUUAGUGUUUAGAGAGCCAUUUUCUGGUUGCAUACUACAAGUGACGGUAUGGGGUGACUAUGGACGAAUGGAGGGCAAAAAAGUGUUCAUGGGGGUAGCUCAAAUAAUGCUGGAUAACCUAAACCUAUCACAUAUAGUCAUCGGAUGGUACAAACUAUUCGGAACCACAUCACUGGUCAGUGGACCACCUAGUUUGGGUCUAUCUAGGCGAUCCUCCAUUGCAUCACUCGAUUCACUCAAGCUGUAAAACUCAUUAUCAUCACUAUGUUUAGUUUCCCCCCUUCAGUUUUCUCUGUUUGUAAUCGUACUUACUUGAUUUCGUGCUAUGAAUGUGUGGUUUCAUUCUCGAAAUUUCAGUUCCUUCAUUAGCUGUAGCCGGCCCUUAAAAAACUGACCAACAUUUGAAUCAUUUAUGGCACAUGUACAGCAACGUUUCGUCGAACUUUUUCUCUCUAGCUGUGUAAAAUUAUUGUGAUUGACAAUUUGAUAAAAUUAGCUAGUUGAGUUUGAUGCCAUAGUUUCGAACAUGUUAGAGCUUGCCGGUCUUUACAGGUUUUUUUUUGAAGGCGGACUAUACCAUUCGAAUGUUUGCUGUAGAUAAAGAUAGUCAUGGAUUGAAGAUAUUGAAUCCUUUAAGUACGAUUAUUCUUGUUUUUUUGAGUUUGUAGCAUUUCAGUUCCACAUUUUUGAUUCGAGAACUCCCAAUUGAUGAUUGAAAAAAAAAAUCUAAUAUCGCUUCCACCAGUCCCUAGGUUAUUAGUUGCUCAUAAGUUUUCCUCCUUAUUAGAAGCAAUGUUGAAAGCACUUUUACGAUAGUGUCUUCUCACACGAAUUACCACACAAAAUUAUUACCUGAUAAAUGAACAGUAUCGAUCUAGAAAAAAAGCUAGUGCAAUGCAAUGUGAUUAUGAGAAACUAAAAGUGUUUUAGUUAAUCAUAGUAAGAAUAACCUUGAAAAACCUCAGCAUAAGUUUCAUCGGCGUACCUACUCUCUGGUUUACAAAAUCCGUACCCUUGUUUUUCAUACAAUCCACAUCAGCUAGAGCUAAGAAGCCAACGACCGAUCGAAACGGCUACAUGUUCCAUUAUAGGAGACUAGACUAAACGAAAUAUUAUUAUAAAUUUAGCUCGAACAAAAGAAAAGAAAAAAAAGAAAUAGAAAAAAAAUACAUACACAAGCACGAAGAGCGAGAGCAAUUUUCCGAAUUAUUCGCCUAUUUAUUAAGAGCAAGAGAUACAUCUAAGAAAAAUGAAACUCAAAUCUGUGAAUUUAAUGAAAUUAAUAUUUAAAGCAGUAACGACAUAAUUCAUGAAUUUACGGCAUCAGAAAAUGCAUGGCAAAGAAAGUUGACUUUGUAACUUUGUAAAAAAAUGAACAAAUAAUCAAGCCUUCCAUUAUAUUUAUGAAACAAGGAACAUUUAAUUAUGAUUAUUAACCAAUUCAUUGAAAUAACAAUCUUGACAUUGAAAGUGCAUACGCUACUAACGAUACAUCAUUCCUACUCAUUUUAUUCAAGUUUCAACAAAACUAAUGGAAUCAAGUUCGUUUACUCUAAAGAUAAUUUUCGCCAGAUUGACACGCAUUUUCAUGUAAAUUCUAUUUCCUACUUCUCAUAACUCUCAUAAGACUAUAAACGGAGCAGCGGUCGCCACAUAAUGUACAGCUGGUAUGGAACAGGAAAUUUUCAUGGAUAAAAUAACAUGACUCAUUGAACAAAAACAAAUUUGUAAGCCUAUUACAACAACUUAACAGGAGGGAAAGGAGACAUGUACAUAAUAAAUAAAGCUAUUACAAAAAACAAAACAAACAAAAAAAAAACAAAUGUAAAACACCUACAUACAUACUUUCUCGAAGCGAAGAAGGAAGUAAGAGAGACAAAAUCAACAUAAUUUUUGCCUUAGAAUCCUAUCAAAUUACUUGGAGUCAUAAAACUAAUAGAGCAACAACAAGCAACAAGCCAUUCUACAGCUUAAUCUGGGAUAGAUUGAGCAGAGAAUUAUGCCAACCUAAGUUUAAGUUCUAUGAAGUUGAACAGUGGCCAACGUUGGGCUGGUGGCGGAUUUUUGUUUUUUCAUGGCCUGACAACAAAGUAUGUUUGUUUAAAAAAUACGUAAUUCGAAUUUCCCUUAUUUAUAUAUUGAUUUCUACAUUGCUACACAUUGUUUUUUUUUUCUAGAAAUCUGAAUUACUGAGUUGAAAUGUUGAUUGUUGAUUUGAGUUUCCAUAACAAUGUGUUACCUGAAUUCGAAUGAGCCGAACGUUGGCUGGCUGUAUCAAUUAGAAUCAGUUUAUACUGUUGUUAAAUUUAUGGUGGUAUCAUUUUAGGCAGCAAAUGAGCCGCAUCCGAUAGGUUCGAAUGAGCAUGCAAAUGAACCAAAAACCUGAUUUAUCACUAAGUACUAAGUACGAGCAGCGGUCAGGUAUCGUGUUGUAUAAACAUAAUUCGUUUUAUCAAUAGGAUUUCAUCAAUUCGAGAAAAGAGCAAGCAUUUCAUGAAGGGGAGAAACCUAAAAUAACAUUUAUCUUCAAAAUAAAAAAAAAAGAAACAAACAAGCCAAAACCAUAUCUUUAAUAUAAGAAAACUUUAACGAUUAAUUGACAUAAGUGAACACACACAAACAGUUAUAAAGAAGUAUAAUUUAAAUAAUAAAAUAAUAAAUGCUUCUUGGGAAUUGACACUAAAUUUUAUUACUAGCAAAGAAAAAAAAAAGAUAGGUCGAUACGGAACGAAAAGGGACAUAUUUUUAUACCAGCAUUGUAUUGUGGGUACUAUAGAAGAUAAAAACCUCACGCUGUACGAAGCGGCUGAGAGAAGAAAAAUAAGAAAUGCGAAAAAAUUACUAGUGAACCAUAAAAUCUGUAACUAUAUGCAAUCGAAGACUAUGGGUAGGACUUCGUUAUAGAUGCCAGUGAGUCUUUUUUCUUCAGCAAAAUGUUAAGCAACAAUGGCUGUUAACUGGUACAUUCUGAUUUCAGAUUUAUCAUUUUUUUAAAUAAAAAUAAUUUUAAAUGAUUUUAAAAAUUAUUUACCUUCGGAUAUAUCGACAGUCGACAGUUUUCUUGAUUUGUCUAUAUCCAUUAUAAACAUGUGUUUGAGUGUUUUUAUUGUGCUUCUCGUGUAUAUAUUUGAACAACGAAGUGUCUGCUUUUGCUUUUCGAAUGGUUAACAACACCACUUACUUUCAAGUGAAGAGACCAAACUGUCGAGAAAAAAUCUUCUUACCUUACAGCUUCCAAUAACGAAUGAGCAAUCUCUCGUGCGCGGCUUUGAUCCGUCCAUAAAUUCUCGCAAACUGCUACGACACUUCCGGUGCUUUCUGGUCCACCUCUCUUGCUCACAGAAUGGUUUUACCAAAUAAAUAUUUUACAGAACAACACAAAAAAACUUCAUUCCAACAAAUGAGUGCUCUGGUAUUGAUCGAAGAUUUCAUUAGAUUAACGAACAAGGAAGAACGCACGACGAUGAAUAGAAUCGAACGAAAACAGUAUGACCUGACGGGAAGAGAAUAAAAUGUUGAUAAAAAUGACUAAAAAUGGCCUAUUGAAAGUAGCUAAUUGAGUUUUCAAUCAUAGAAAUUGGUAACAAGUUUUCAGUGUUGCUUGAAGAUGUAAAAAGGGAACGUGAGGAUCGCUGUAACAUAGAAAGGUGUGUAUAUUAUUGAGUACUCUUCGGUUCGUGGAUCCUUCCAUUCAAUUGUGAGUAUAAGUAUUGGCGAACGCAGCAUCAUUUUAGAUUACGUCAAAUGACUAUCAGACAUCGCAUGUCUUCUUCCAAAAGAAACAGAAAUAAUGAACGUUUUUGUUUCGAGCAUGCGAUUAUUUCUGUAAAAAAAGAAAGAAAGAUGCAAAAACAAAUCGUCAGAAACUAACCAAAAUGAAAAGUUGGCGAUGCAAAGAAAUGUACGCAGACACUCCGCGGAUGAAUUGUUGAUAUAGAAAUUAUGACUUUUAGUUAUUUCACAACAGAUAAUCGUAAAUUCGCGACUUUUUAGAUGGCAAACCAAAGAAGAGAAGCGAGCAGGAGUACGGAAACUGAGAUGUAUUAAUUUGACAGAUUAAUUUCUACAUAUAUGAAGUGAUCCAGAUAAAAGAAGGAUCAAACAAAACGCGACAUCUGAAGCAAGGUCAGAUUAGGGUGAAGGAUUAUAAUGCGUUAGAAAAACAAAACAAAACAACACAUGAUUCAAGAGAAUAUUGUACAUUAAAACUUCUAUUAUUAUUAAACCAUAUAUAAAUAUACUGAAAAUAUAUAUAAAAUGUAUCCCCUCUCGGCUAAGAAAAUGUCGAGAAACGACAAUAAAACUGUGAAAUUGAAAA